UACGUAGGGGGCAAGCGGUUGUCCGGAAUCAUUGGGCGUAAAGAGCGUGUAGGCGGCCAGAAAAGUCCGCUGUGAAAACUCGAGGCUCAACUUCGAGCUGUCGGUGGAAACUUUCUGGCUAGAGUCCGGAAGAGGAGAAUGGAAUUCCUGGUGUAGCGGUGAAAUGCGCAGAUAUCAGGAAGAACACCCGUGGCGAAGGCGGUUCUCUGGGACGGUACUGACGCUGAGACGCGAAAGCGUGGGGAGCGAACAGG
rnacentral:rRNA from 1 species